rnacentral:rRNA from 1 species
ACCUCGGAUCAGGUAGGGAUACCCGCUGAACUUAAGCAUAUCAAUAAGCGGAGGAAAAGAAACCAACAGGGAUUACCUCAGUAACGGCGAGUGAAGCGGUAACAGCUCAAAUUUGAAAUCUGGCUCUUUCAGGGUCCGAGUUGUAAUUUGUAGAAGAUGCUUUGGGUGUGGCCCUGGUCUAAGUUCCUUGGAACAGGACGUCAUAGAGGGUGAGAAUCCCGUAUGUGACUAGGUGCNUUCGCCCGUGUAAAGCUCUUUCGACGAGUCGAGUUGUUUGGGAAUGCAGCUCAAAAUGGGUGGUAAAUUUCAUCUAAAGCUAAAUAUUGGCCAGAGACCGAUAGCGCACAAGUAGAGUGAUCGAAAGAUGAAAAGCACUUUGGAAAGAGAGUUAAACAGUACGUGAAAUUGUUGAAAGGGAAGCGCUUGCAACCAGANUUAGUUGCGGCCGAUCAUNUAGGGUUCUCCNUGGUGCACUCGGUCGUAUCUAGGCCAGCAUCGGUUUGGGUGGUGGGAUAAAGGCCUUGGGAAUGUAGCUUCUUUCGGGGAGUGUUAUAGCCCUCGGUGCAAU